rnacentral:rRNA from 1 species
CCUACGGGGGGCAGCAGUGGGGAAUAUUGGACAAUGGGCGAAAGCCUGAUCCAGCCAUGCCGCGUGUGUGAAGAAGGCCUUCGGGUUGUAAAGCACUUUCAGUGGGGAAGAAAGCCUUGGGGCUAAUACCCUCGAGGAAGGACAUCACCCACAGAAGAAGCACCGGCUAACUCCGUGCCAGCAGCCGCGGUAAUACGGAGGGUGCGAGCGUUAAUCGGAAUUACUGGGCGUAAAGCGCGCGUAGGCGGUCUGAUAAGCCGGUUGUGAAAGCCCCGGGCUCAACCUGGGAACGGCAUCCGGAACUGUCAGGCUAGAGUGCAGGAGAGGAAGGUAGAAUUCCCGGUGUAGCGGUGAAAUGCGUAGGGAUCGGGAGGAAUACCAGUGGCGAAGGCGGUCUUCUGGACUGACACUGACGCUGAGGUGCGAAAGCGUGGGUAGCAAACAGGAUUAGAUACCCCGGUAGUC